GUUUGAUCCUGGCUCAGGAUGAACGCUGGCGGCGUGCCUAACACAUGCAAGUCGAGCGAGGACUUCGGUCCUAGCGGCGGACGGGUGAGUAACGCGUGGGUAAUCUGCCUCAUACACACGGAUAACGUACCGAAAGGUACGCUAAUACGAGAUAAAGUUAAGAAAUGGCAUCAUUUCUUAAUCAAAGAAUUUCGGUAUGUGAUGAGCCCGCGUCCCAUUAGCUAGUUGGUAAGGUAAAAGCUUACCAAGGCGACGAUGGGUAGCCGACCUGAGAGGGUGAUCGGCCACACUGGAACUGAGACACGGUCCAGACUCCUACGGGAGGCAGCAGUGGGGAAUAUUGCACAAUGGGCGAAAGCCUGAUGCAGCAACGCCGCGUGAGCGAUGAAGGUCUUCGGAUCGUAAAGCUCUGUCCUCAAGGAAGAAUUUUGACGGUACUUGAGGAGGAAGCCCCGGCUAACUACGUGCCAGCAGCCGCGGUAAUACGUAGGGGGCUAGCGUUAUCCGGAAUUAUUGGGCGUAAAGGGUGCGUAGGCGGUCCUACAAGUCAGAGGUGAAAGGCUACGGCUCAACCGUAGUAAGCCUUUGAAACUGUAGGACUUGAGUGCAGGAGAGGAGAGUGGAAUUCCCAGUGUAGCGGUGAAAUGCGUAGAUAUUGGGAGGAACACCAGUUGCGAAGGCGGCUCUCUGGACUGUAACUGACGCUGAGGCACGAAAGCGUGGGGAGCGAACAGGAUUAGAUACCCUGGUAGUCCACGCCGUAAACGAUGAGUACUAGGUGUCGGGGGUUACCCCCCUCGGUGCCGCAGCUAACGCAUUAAGUACUCCGCCUGGGAAGUACGCUCGCAAGAGUGAAACUCAAAUGAAUUGACGG
rnacentral:rRNA from 1 species